rnacentral:rRNA from 1 species
GGUAGCAUAAUCAUUUGUCCUAUAAUAGAGGACUGGGAUAAAUGAGUAAACAACAUUAAAUCUUUUUAAAUAUUGGACCAGAAAUUAAUCUCUACGUCAAAAAGCGUAGAUUUCUUAGAAAGACGAUAAGACCCUAUAAAACUAUAGAUCUCUAAAAUUCCUCUUAAAUUUCGAAUUCUUGAGACUUUUAAGGAUUGAGCUGGGGCGGCAUCUAAAAUUCUUUAGACUAAUUAACAUUAUAGCAGAGUAGAAAGAUCUUUAAAAGAAUAGAACAAGUUACUUUAGGGAUAACAGCGUAAUUUUUUGUGAGUUAUCUUACAAAAAGACUUACGACCUCGAUGUUGAAUUGA